CUCUCGUCCCGGCCACUGCAGCCUGCAGUCAAAGAGUGCAGCGCCUUCUCAGCAGGUUUCUCUACCUUACUGUCCAGGGCUGCAUCUGCCGGAGCCACCGCGCUGGUCAUUUUCUAAAGGGCUCUUGUAAUCCCAGCUGGAGCUUGGUAGGGGGUGGGUCACGUGCCCAGGAGAAGGGCUGGAGGUGGAAUCUCUCGGGAGACUUCUGCUCCUUCCUCAGAGUCCCAGCAGCCGGCAUUGACAGCAAUCGUCACAGCAAUGGGGUGUUCCAGCAGCACCCAAACGCAGUCCCAGGAGAGCAGCAGGCCAGUGACCAAGACCGGUGUUACCAACGGACUGAAGCAAAGCGAUGGAAACUCUUCAAUCCCACAUGAAAAUGAAAUUUGCCUCGACAAGACAAAACAGUGUGCAGUGGAAGCAAAAGUUGAUGUUAGUGACAAAACAGGACCAAUCAACCACCUUCUAGCUGGGGAGCCCAGAGUUGUGAAGCCAUUAGCAACUGAUGGUGCUAGUUCCACCUGUGAAGAGGAACAUCCUGAGAAGGCAGAGUCUCCAGGCUCUGAGGAAAAAGCUCAAGCAGAGUAUCUGAAAUCAACAGAUAAAGCUAAGAAUCCAGGAGCAUCCGAGGAGUCUGUGCCACCCAUAUCUGCUGGAAAAAACGAACUUCCAGGAACAGAUGAAAAGGAUAACAGGGAAAUUGAGAAAGGCGCUCAGCCUGUAGGAAAUUUUGUCGAGACUGAAAUAUUUGGAACUAUAAAGGAGAUUAAACCACUGAUAACAGCUAGUGAAGUAGAACCUAUGGAAACAGGAGAACAUAAUGAGCAUCUAGGAGUGGCUGAAGAAGUUGAGCCCCAAAGAACAACGAAGGAGAAUAAGCACCUGAUAACAUCUGAAGAGGCUGAACCUCAAGAAACAGUGGAAGAUACUCAGCAUGUAGAUACUGAUAGAAAGACAGGAGUGUCAGAGGAGAACGAUUAUGUGGGAACAGCUGGUGAGACUGAAACUUCAGGAACACUGGAAGAGACUGAACAGGAGGGAAUAGCUGGAAAGACCAAAACUGCAGGAACAUGUGAAGAAACUGAGCAUGAGGAAACAGCUGGAGAAACUGAACCUUCAGGAACACAUGAAGAGGCUGAGCAUGAGGAAACAGCUGGAGAGACCAAACCUUCGGGAGUGAUGGAAGAGGCUGAGCAUGAGGGAACAGCUGGAGAGACCAAACCUUCAGGAACAAUGGAAAAGGUGACUCUGGUAACAGGUGAAAAGAACAACUUUCAGGGAACAGUUGAAGACAAUGAAUUUCCAGAAAUACUUGGGGAGGUUCAGCCUCUUGGAGCUCCUGGAAAGAACAACUACUCCAGAACAGCUAGAGGCACUGAACCUCCUGAAAGAGUGGAGAAGACUCAGUUGGUAGAAACAGUUGGAGGCACUAAACCUCCCAUAAUAGCUGAAGGGACACAGGAAGACAUGAAGCCAUGGAUGGAAGUAGCCAGGGAAAUUAACAUGAAUGAAGAGAACCAAGCAAUUGAAGGUGAGACGGGAGAAAGGGUGGAAACUGAGACGCACAGUGAGAUAGUGAGUGAGGGCUCUGAAACAAAGGAAGAAGAAACGGGAGAAGCUGUGGAUACUGCUGCAGCCACAGAGAUGGAGUUAACAAAUAGCAAGAAAUAAGAUCCAGAUGCUGUCUAUGCAGAUUCUACACUCUUCAUCUUGUUCAGCUGUUUAAAUGAAAGUCAUUUUACAAUCUUUUGACUUUUGGGGGUGAGGGUAGGGAAUAUAAUAUCAGAACUUUACAAAGAAUUUAUAAACUUUUGUCAUUGUUAAAAAAAAUUUGCCACAAACAAGUCACCUUUCAAAAAUUCUUCAAAGGUUGCCAAGAAACUUUGACAAGUAGUUGCAUAUGUACAUUUUCACUUAUCUGCCAUAGAGUGCCUUGUUAUGUUAAUAUUCAAUUAGAAUUAUGUUUUUGAAGCAUUUUUGUCUGGAAUGUAAAUAUAUUUUGUAUCUUUUCAAAUUUGAGUUAGAUUCUUCUAAAUUCAUUUUUACAUUUAAACAAUAACUACUGAAACCUCCUGUUUAAGUAUUUAAUCCACAGGUAUACAAAAUGAUCAAAGACAUUGGCUUAUUUUUUCUUAUUUAAACAGAUUAAUACUAGUUUAUGACCAAAAUUUUAAAAUGCUGAUUUUUAAAGUAGAUGAUAAGUUACCAGAAUAGUUACCCUUCCAGAAAAGGAAACAUAGAAUAUGAUUUUCAACUUGUAUAUUUUAUGCAGCUUUUAAAAGUAAAUUAAAAAAAAAAUCAACAUCAUGAUAGAAUCCCAAUCUAUCCAUAAUAACCUAUUUAGAAAUGUAAUUUUUAAAAAUGACUACGUAGAAUAACAGUAAAAUCUAAGAAAAUCUUUUUUUAAUGCCAAAACUGCUGAAAUUAUGCCAUAGCUUAUUAACAAAAUGCAUUUUUGUAACUUUAAAUUUUAAUAUUUUGGAACCAGUGACUGUAUUUCUUUAUUAAAAUUAUCAGCGAAAUGAGUUUUAAAGUUUUAUGGAUGCCUUUUGUCUUUUAUAACACAGGAAUUUCCCAAUACUGUCCCUUCCCAUCCCGCCAAUGACAAAGAAAAGCAAAAAGAUGGAAAAAGAAAAACUAGCCUGACAACAUUCUGUGCUUACAGUCUUCCACCUUUCUACCAAGAAGGAGAAAGUGCCUUUAAUUAUUUGUUCUCCAGGUCCAAGAUUAGUCUCUGCAGUUAAUCUGAAUACCUGCAGGCUUUUGGUGUUUUUUUCAUUUACAUUACUUUAGUCAUUGGGCAUGUUGUUCUCAUAGUUCUGUUUAUUUCACAAUUAGUCAGUUCAUACCAGUAUUUCUAAGUUUCUCUCAUUUCCUCAUAUUUGUCAUUUCUUAUAGUGAAGUAAUAUUCUGUUAUCUUCAUAUGCUACAAUUUCUUUAGCAAAUGUCCAAUCAAUUAAAAAAAACUGGAAAUAAAGUAGUCUAGUUUGAAACA
rnacentral:lncRNA from 1 species